UGGUUAGAGCAGGGGGGGGCUGUGAGCCAGGACUCCUGGGUUCUCUCCCCGGCUCUGGGAGGGGAGUGGGGGCUGGUGGUUAGAGCGGGGGGCUGGGAGCCAGGACUCCUGGGUUCUCUCCCCGGCUCUGGGAGGGGAGUGGGGGCUGGUGGGUCAGAGCAGGGGGGCUGGGAGCCAGGACUCCUGGGUUCUCUCCCUGGCUCUGGGAGGGGAGUGGGGGCUAAUGGUUAGAGCAGGGUGGGCUGGGAGCCAGGACUCCUGGGUUCUCUCCCUGGUUCUGGGAGGGGAGUGGGGGCUGGUGGCCAGGACUCCUGGGUUCUCUCCCUGGUUCUGGGAGGGGAGUGGGGGCUGGUGGCCAGGACUCCUGGGUUCUCUCCCUGGUUCUGGGAGGGGAGUGGGGGCUGGUGGGUUAGAGCAGGGGGGGCUGGGAGCCAGGACUCCUGGGUUCUCUCCCCAGCUCUGGGAGGGGAGUGGGGGCUGGUGGUUAGAGCAGGGGGGGCUGGGAGCCAGGACUCCUUGGUUCUCUCCCCGGCUCUGGGAGGGGAGUGGGGGCUGGUGGGUUAGAGCAGGGGGGGCUGGGAGCCAGGACUCCUGGGUUCUCUCCCUGGCUCUGGGAGGGGAGUGGGGGCUAAUGGUUAGAGCAGGGUGGGCUGGGAGCCAGGACUCCUGGGUUCUCUCCCUGGUUCUGGGAGGGGAGUGGGGGCUGGUGGGAUAGAGCAGGGGGGCUGGGAGCCAGGACUCCUGGGUUCUCUCCCCGGCUCUGGGAGGGGAGUGGGGGCUGGUGGGAUAGAGCAGGGGGG